UACGUAGGGUCCGAGCGUUGUCCGGAAUUAUUGGGCGUAAAGGGCUCGUAGGCGGUUUGUCACGUCGGGAGUGAAAACUCAGGGCUCAACCCUGAGCGUGCUUCCGAUACGGGCAGACUAGAGGUAUGCAGGGGAGAACGGAAUUCCUGGUGUAGCGGUGGAAUGCGCAGAUAUCAGGAGGAACACCGGUGGCGAAGGCGGUUCUCUGGGCAUGAUCUGACGCUGAGGAGCGAAAGUGUGGGGAGCGAACAGG
rnacentral:rRNA from 1 species